UGGGGAAUCUUGCGCAAUGGGCGAAAGCCUGACGCAGCCAUGCCGCGUGAGUGAUGAAGGCCUUAGGGUUGUAAAACUCUUUCACCGGGGACGAUAAUGACGGUACCCGGAGAAGAAGCCCCGGCUAACUUCGUGCCAGCAGCCGCGGUAAUACGAAGGGGGCUAGCGUUGCUCGGAAUUACUGGGCGUAAAGGGCGCGUAGGCGGAUCAGCAAGUUGGGGGUGAAAGCCCGGGGCUCAACCUCGGAAUUGCCUUCAAAACUGCUGAUCUAGAGUACGGGAGAGGUGUGUGGAACUCCGAGUGUAGAGGUGAAAUUCGUAGAUAUUCGGAAGAACACCAGUGGCGAAGGCGACACACUGGCCCGUUACUGACGCUGAGGCGCGAAAGCGUGGGGAGCAAACAGGAUUAGAUACCCUGGUAGUCCACGCUGUAAACGAUGAUUGCUAGUUGUCGGCAGGCAUGCCUGUCGGUGACGCAGCUAACGCAUUAAGCAAUCCGCCUGGGGAGUACGGUCGCAAGAUUAAAACUCAAAUGAAUUGACGGGGUCAUAGCUGUUUCCU
rnacentral:rRNA from 1 species